CUCUGUACGGGAAGGAUGAGAAGCUUCGACUAAGGUUCGAUUCGAGCGCAGCGAGAAAGCGUUGCCUGCGGCAACGACCCGAAGGGCGAAGCGCGCAGCGCUGAGUCAUCCUUCCCCCACCACCA
rnacentral:sRNA from 1 species